CAGUCGCCGCGGUAAUACGAAGGGUGCAAGCGUUACUCGGAAUUACUGGGCGUAAAGCGUGCGUAGGUGGUGGUUUAAGUCCGUUGUGAAAGCCCUGGGCUCAACCUGGGAAUUGCAGUGGAUACUGGGUCACUAGAGUGUGGUAGAGGAUAGUGGAAUUUCCGGUGUAGCAGUGAAAUGCGUAGAGAUCGGAAGGAACAUCUGUGGCGAAGGCGACUAUCUGGGCCAACACUGACACUGAGGCACGAAAGCGUGGGGAGCAAACAGGAUUAGAUACCCCUGUAGUCCCUGUCUCUUAUCA
rnacentral:rRNA from 1 species